ACCUUCAAGUUCGGGAUAACCUUGCCAACGCGGGGAUAAUACCGGAUGUGGUCACAUUUCCUCCUGGUGAUGUGACUAAAGCAGACCUCUACAUGUAAGUUUGUGCUUGAGGAUGGGCUUGCGGCCCAUUAGCUUGUUGGUGGGGUAACGGCCCACCAAGGCUUCGAUGGGUAGCCGACCUGAGAGGGUGAUCGGCCACAUUGGGACUGAGAUACGGCCCAGACUCCUACGGGAGGCAGCAGUAGGGAAUUUUGCGCAAUGGACGAAGGUCUGACGCAGCGACGCCGCGUGAGCGAUGAAGGUCUUCGGAUUGUAAAGCUCUGUUGAGUGGGAAGAAAAAGUCUGGAGGUAAUAUCUUCAGGCCUUGACGGUACCAUUCGAGGAAGCCCCGGCUAACUACGUGCCAGCAGCCGCGGUAAUACGUAGGGGGCUAGCGUUGUUCGGAAUCACUGGGCGUAAAGGGAGUGUAGGCGGAAAGGUAAGUUAGAAGUUAAAUACACAGGCUUAACCUGUGGCCUGCUUUUAAUACUGUCUUUCUUGAGUAUGGGAGAGGGUGAUGGAAUUCCAGGUGUAGCGGUGGAAUGCGUAGAUAUCUGGAAGAACACCAGUUGCGAAGGCGGUCACCUGGCCCAAUACUGACGCUGAGGCUCGAAAGCUAGGGGAGCGAACAGGAUUAGAUACCCUGGUAGUCCUAGCCGUAAACGAUGGGUACUAGUUGCUGGGGGAGUCAAUCCUUUCAGUGACGAAGCUAACGCAUUAAGUACCCCGCCUGGGGAGUACGCUCGCAAGGGUGAAACUCAAAGGAAUUGACGGGGGCCCGCACAAGCGGUGGAGCAUGUGCUUUAAUUCGAUGCAACGCGAAGAACCUUACCUGGGUUUGACAUGUGAGUGUAAGCCACCAGAGAUGGAGGCCCUUCCGCAAGGAACACUCAACACAGGUGCUGCAUGGUUGUCGUCAGCUCGUGUCGUGAGAUGUUGGGUUAAGUCCCGCAACGAGCGCAACCCCUGUCCUUAGUUGCCAUCAGGUAAAGCUGGGAACUCUAAGGAGACUGCCUGUCAUAAACAGGAGGAAGGUGGGGAUGACGUCAAAUCAUCAUGGCCCUUACGCCCAGGGCUAGACACGUGCUACAAUGGUCGGUACAAUGGGAUGCGAACUCGCGAGGGUAAGCUAAUCCCACAAAACCGGUCUCAGUUCGGAUUGGAGUCUGCAACUCGACUCCAUGAAGUUGGAAUCGCUAGUAAUCGCGGAUCAGCAUGCCGCGGUGAUACGUUCCCGGGCCUUGUACACACCGCCCGUCAAGCCAUGAAAGACGGUAGUGCCCGAAGUCGUGCACCUAACCGCAAGGAAGGAAGCGCCGAAGGUA
rnacentral:rRNA from 1 species